GUUUUACUACUUAUAAAUUUCGUGCCCAUAUAUGUAUAGAUGUAUAAAUAAUGUUUAAAGGGCUUAGGAAAGCCACCUGCCCUAUUUCCUUUUCCUCGAUUUGGAUGUGGUCUGGUGGAAUUUCGGGUGACCAUCCGAAGGUCGUUUCCAUAUUAAUUAUAUAUCAAAUAUACAUAUAUAGACAUAAAAGUACUUCCAUAUUCAUACGUACUAGACACACCAUUAGUAAGUUACCAUCGGGGUAACACAGGAUCAUACUAUUACAACUGCUAGAUCAAUGAGUCAGUUCAUUCAUGAGUCUAUACUAGGAAGAGAACAUAUACAACUAUACUAUGAGAACAUAUACAACUAUACUAGAACGAGAACAUUUCAUUACAUAUACAAGAAUACGAUAACAAUUAUGAUCCACUGUAUCGGAGCAUGCCUUAAAUGUCAUGGCCCGAGUUGUAGCCAGAAUUCUCUUGGAGGGANAGUUUGCGUAUAGAUCUAUACUGGGUUGACUAUCCUACACCUUGCUGCUAGCUACAGCCGGACCUGCAGGUCUGCGGGUGCCAAACGUCAUUCCGUUAUGACGACCGUUCUUGUCGUUGUUAUCAGCCGAUAGUAUGGUGCAAUCAUCACAUUUUACCUUAAUAUAAAUCCGGUUUAAGGUAGUUAGUACAACAGUAGUUCCUAUAAUACAAAACUACAGUACUACAAUGAUUUACCCAUUACAUAUUUUUAGUGAUAACCUCACUUAAACAUUAAUGUACAAACUAUAUUUUGCUAAAUGAUAGUUACACUUGGGAAAUUACACACUUUUACAACAAACGAGCAUACAAAACAUUUAAGCCCUGGUAGAAGGCUACUUUAAUAGAAAAUAUAGGUUUUUCUGAGAGAUUCAAACUUUUGCAAACACUUACAUACAAUUUACAACUUAUACUUACGACAGGUUCAAACGUUUUGAUAACAAACAUCGACACUAAAAUACUUAUGAACUCACCAGCUUAAUGCUGAUAAACUCUUUCAAAAUAACUUGUAUUCUCAGGUCAUCAGUAGACAGGUACCGAUGCCAGCUUUUGAGAAGAUGGAGCGCAUUCAAGACUCAUCAUAUUAUUAUUUUGAUUUACCUUAUAUUUUUGGUGUCUAAAACUGUACAGAACACGCUUGUAUUAAAAUUAUAUAUUUAAUGCAAUGGAUGAUGUUGUUUGCUUAUUUACAUUUACUGUGUUGUGAUACUUUACAUGACGUCCUCCGCCCCAGAACGUUUCCGCCGUUCUUGGUUUUGGGGUGUGACAGAUUGGUAUCAGAGCAUUGUUUAUAGUGAAUCAAGUAUAUCAACCCAUAAAAGAUAUACUAAACUAUAAACCCAUUAGGGAUUACACUCUGACCAAGAGUCUAUACUUUAAAUAUUAAAAUAUUUAAUUAAGUAUACUAGUCUGCAUUCAUACUAAAAUCAGUGUCACAAUGACAAGAACAAAAGUAUUACGAUUGUUAAAUAUCACAAGUGAGCUCGGGGAUGUAUGGUCAGUCCUGGGAAUGGCAUAGCCUGAUCAACUAUGCUGGUCCUAGGAGUGAUUAGCAUAUGCCCUAGAAUGGUUGUGAUAGGUUAACAAGUCUAAAAACUUACCAACAAUACCACAAGAAGAUCAGUAGAACUUAAACUUAAAAUACUAUAGGUGUAUUUUGUACUACUAGUUACACGUAUACUAUAUUCUUAUACCUCUCUUCUCGCGUAGAUCUAAAUGGCUGGAUUCCAUCACGGCGACCCGUACUUUCCAAAUGAAGGCAAUGCCGGGUGGAUCGAUGAAGAGCCCGAAGAUGAGCAUCCAAUCCCUUUGGAUGAUCACCUCGCAGAAGGCUUUUCUGAUGGAUCCGACUCCGAGCCUGAAGUCAACAACCUACCGCUCGUAGGUCAAGCCCCGAACAACAACCCUCGACCAGCUUUUCCAGGUCCUACUCCCUUGUGGGCAAACAACUUGAAUCGCUGGAGUGAUGAACAGGGUCAACCCUUACCAUACUUUGGGGACCGAAGCUUUUACAACGUCAGCGAUGGUGGCUCUGCUGACCGAGCUCUGCCUGUCAUUAUCCGCAGAAUAGCUCGUAAUGUCGAGCAAGGUCGAGCAGCCAUCGACCGGGUCAUGGAGAUUGAUGCCAACUCAGGUGUCAACACAGUCCGCAUCCGCCGUCUUGAAGAAGACAUGGAACGGACCCGGAGAACCAAUGAAACCCUGCAGCAGCAGCUGACUGCCUCACGAGCUGAAAUCUUGGAACUUCGAGCUCGUCAGAGGGCUCAGGAUCGACACCUUCAAGAGGUGUGUCGUCAAGUGUCCGACUUCAGGGCUCGCCCGGGGAAUUUCCAUCGCCAUUAGACAAUGUCUAGUACAUCUCUGUCUUUUGAUUAAAGAAUAGCCUUUAACAUCUGUGCUCUAAGUAGCACUUGUCUGUAACAUAUUCCUAACUUUCAGUACUCUAAUUAGGAAUCUAAGAACUGUCAAACUUUUCUAUAUGGUAUGAUGUAAGACCUACUGUUAGGUCGAUUUUCCUUGAACUUAUUACAUCAGUAAUACCAGUAUUAUUGAAAUCUAUCUAAUCUGUGGGAAAAAUCUAUACACUUGUGCUUUCCUACUAAUAUUUCUUAUUGUGAUUUCAAACACUCAUUCAACUGUUGGGCUAUGGUUAGUUAGUCCAUGUGUCACUCUCACGUUGCUUACAAAUUGAUUCUUACCAUUUUUUUCUUACCUUUAUAAACUUAUAGCUGAAAGAUGCCUCCUCAUAAAUCUCCCAGGAAUAAUCCUGCACCACCACCUCCUCCACCUCCGGUCAUCAAUACUGUAGCCCUGAAUGCUGCCGUAGUUGCAGCAGUGGCAACUGCCAUGGCUCAGUAUCACUCUUCUGAUGCCAGCAGAGGUGGAACCCCUGUGGAAUCAACCCCGGUUGAAACCCAUGUGCGCUCGAGAGGGUGCUCAUACAAGGAUUUCACAAAUUGCAAAUCGAAGCCUUUUUACGACAUCGGCGGAGUCAUUGCCCUCUCGCAAUGGCUCGAGAAGACUGAAUCAGUCUUCGAAAUCUAUUCAUGCCCUGCGGUGAGUAAACUCAAGUACGCCGCAUGCACCUUUUAAGGAAAGGCCCUGACAUGGUGGAACCGCCAUGUUAAGGCACUAACUCUCGUCGUAGCCAACGACAUAGGCUNNNNNNNNNNNNNNNNNNNNNNNNNNNNNNNNNNNNNNNNNNNNNNNNNNNNNNNNNNNNNNNNNNNNNNNNNNNNNNNNNNNNNNNNNNNNNNNNNNNNAGGACCGGAGUACACCCUGCGUACCCUCGUACGCCCCGCGUACUCCAAUUAAGGGUCUUGGAUCGUCCACGUCGCCCUAUGCGAAGCUACCGACCCGCCCAUCCGACCCGCCGUCCCAUCCGAAGCCGAGCCAGUCGAGUUCUCGGUCAUGCAUGACGUACGAGUACGCGCUGCAUACUAGCGUACGCCCCGCGUACCGAGGCUCCUCAGACCCCCUAUAAAUAGCAUGCGAAGGCUUCCGGAAAAUUGCUCAUUUCUCUCCUUUAUCUUAUGAUCUUGCCUCGAUUUCCGUGCCCGUUCAAACCCGAAGCUCUAGUCUUUUUGCUCAAGUCCCGAGGGUCGAUUUUACUCCCGAGAUUCCCGAGAAUCCCGAGAAAAAUCCGUUUCCGAAGACGAAACUCUGCCCGGUUUUCCGUCCCUCUAUCUUAAAACUUUCAAGUGAGUUCAUACCCCUUAAAUCAACCUUUGAAAUGAUUUUAAAUGUUUAAAUACUUUAGGGGGGGGGGGAUACAAGUUAAAUACUUAUAGUUAUUGCUUCAAUCACAUGUGAUUAAUAACUAGGAAACCCAUGAUUUUAUCACUAUUCAAACUGUUUUACUUCAAAAUGUUAUACAAACUCUUUUACUUAUCAAAUGCUUGUAUUUAAACUUUGUUUUACUACUUAUAAAUUUCGUGCCCAUAUAUGUAUAGAUGUAUAAAUAAUGUUUAAAGGGCUUAGGAAAGCCACCUGCCCUAUUUCCUUUUCCUCGAUUUGGAUGUGGUCUAGUGGAAUUUCGGGUGACCAUCCGAAGGUCGUUUCCAUAUUAAUUAUAUAUCAAAUAUACAUAUAUAGACAUAAAAGUACUUCCAUAUUCAUACGUACUAGACACACCAUUAGUAAGUUACCAUCGGGGUAACACAGGAUCAUACUAUUACAACUGCUAGAUCAAUGAGUCAGUUCAUUCAUGAGUCUAUACUAGGAAGAGAACAUAUACAACUAUACUAUGAGAACAUAUACAACUAUACUAGAACGAGAACAUUUCAUUACAUAUACAAGAAUACGAUAACAAUUAUGAUCCACUGUAUCGGAGCAUGCCUUAAAUGUCAUGGCCCGAGUUGUAGCCAGAAUUCUCUUGGAGGGAGAGCGUUGAGUUUGUGUAUAGAUCUAUACUGGAUUGACUAUCCUACACCUUGCUGCUAGCUACAGCCGGACCUGCAGGUCUGCGGGUGCCAAACGUCAUUCCGUUAUUACGACCGUUCUUUAUGUCGUUGUUAUCAGUCGAUAGUAUGGUGCAAUUAUCACAUUAU
rnacentral:lncRNA from 1 species